CAACACAGCCAGCAGGACUUUGCUUCUCACUAAUAGACAGUCAUGACUCAGAGAGACAAUUACAGAGGACAUACUUGAUUUCUACUUUAUUUAUGUGUAAAUUGUCGCACAGAUCUUGGUGAAUGAGGCCUUUUAGUACAUUAAAAGACACUGUUGAAAAUAGUACCCUUUAAUCUGAUUCACAAAAAAACAUUGUUGCCACUUAUCCCAGUUCUCACCUGCAGCAGGUCCAUGUUUCUUAGUGUAAAGAACAACACAGUCAGAAGGAGAAGGAUGACACAGGUCUUCAGAAGUUUCAUGUUGACAUGGUUACUUAUAAAACCUUUUAGCCACAUGAAUAUUACGGCUUACCUCAGAAGACAUUAAUUUGGAGUGAACACAGUGGUGAAAUCUCUGUGAUGUGACGGAAAUCCAAAUUAAAAAAAAUAAACCUUUUACUCAGAAAACAAGACAACCUGUCAUAACAAGAAGCGUCAAAAAAGUGAUAAAGAAGCUUCAUAAAGUCAUCAAGGUUAGAAGUUCUAUUAUCAAGAUGAAUGAUGCCCUUCAUAAGAAUGUUGCCUCCUUACAUUUAACCUUUGGUUACGUAUCCAUCCAUAUAUUAAAAACGCCAGCUGAACAACAACUGAACAGAUGAAAACCAGUUUGACAGUAACUCAAGUAUGGGCAUGAAGCAUAAACUUUGCAUAAACAAAGCAUCUCCAUUGAGUACUGAAAUAUGUCAAGGUGGCGGAGGCACCCAUAUGGAAAAUAAAUAAAAAUGUUUUACUAAAUGUUUAUAUCUUUUAUCUGAAACUUAAUACACGCAUGACAGGGAUGGGCACUAUUUCUGGUUUUCAUGAUUUCAUAGCAGAUUUUGUGAUUUUUUCUUCAUGUUUCCAAUUACUUGAUAUGUAAAAAUUGACCUGAGGGCCUCAUUGA